rnacentral:rRNA from 1 species
AAAGGUAGCGUAAUCAUUAGUUUUUUAAUUGAAAGCUUGUAUGAAUGGUCGGACGAGGUAUAUACUGUCUUUAUAUAAUUUAUUGUAGAAUUUAACUUUUAAGUAAAAAGGCUUAAAUUAAACUAAUAGACGAGAAGACCCUAUAGAUCUUUAUAAGUUAACUAUUAAUUAUGUAAGGGGCAUUUAUUAAUUAAUAAUGAAAUUUAUUUUAUUGGGGUAAUAUAAAGAUUAAAAGAAUUCUUUGAAAUAUAAACAAGAAUGACUGGUUAAUUGAUCCAUUAAUAUUGAUUAUAAGAUUAAGUUACCUUAGGGAUAACAGCGUAAUUUUUUUAGAGAGUUCAUAUCGAUAAAAAAGU